rnacentral:lncRNA from 1 species
CCACCACCAUUCAUGAUCCUCAGCAGCAAGUUGGAAGUAAGUCAAAGCAACAGUGAUGAAGGCAGUGACAAUCAAGAGAAUGAUGAAAACAAUAAAUAAGAUGCUGUAAAUGGUGUAAAUCCUGUGGCCCCACACACUGGCGAAGAUGUAGUAAAGCUCAAUGUAGAUAGCACUAAAAGGGAGAAAGCCAGCCAUGGCCAUUUGAGGGAUGGUUUUUCUGUACCAUGGGAGAGGUGGAAUCUCUCUGGGAUACUUUGUGGUGCGAACAGGAGCUUGGAACUCAGCUUUGCUGUUUUUUCCAGCAAUGCCCCCGAGAACAAGUAAUGGUGAUGUCACCAAACUCCAUAUUAAAACAAUCACUACAAUUGUCCCAAAGGGUAGUGCAGCUGUGGCUGUGUAUGCGAUUGCAACCGUGUUUAGGAAGCAGAAGGUUAGAAAGAGGGGCCCACAGAAGAGGCAUCCGGUUAACAGUAGGUUCCUUACCUGUUGAUGCGAGAUGUUAGAUUUUAAAUUAAAUGAAGAAAAGGGUAUAUUGGUAAAUUUGUAUCGUACCCAGUUGCUUCCUUCUAGCUGGUGGUAGAAAGAGGAUGCAGUGUAGCCUGCGAUUCCAGAUGUAAGCGCGUAUAUGACAACGAGUGCAGUGAAAAGAGCUCCUCGAUUGUAUGGAUAAAAUACACCAACAAGUGCGAGUAUGAAGAUAAAAAGUGCUCUGAUUAAAAAAAAAAAAAAGUUAUCAAUAUUGAGAAUUAAAUAUUGCACUAAAAAUGUGGAAUAAUUACUUUACUUACAGAGCAAAUAGCUGGGUUCCAGAACCAAGGGCAGCAGCAAACAAAGACUUGUACUUUGGGUACCUAAACACAUCACCAUGAAUGUACUUCCACCCAGUCUCCUCUUGAUCAUCAGCUGCCUCUUCAUCAUGAGCAUACCUUUUUUCACAAAUAAUUUGAUUAACAAGGGGUAAAAAAAGGAAUUGUAUGUAAAAUAAAUGAAUGAUAUUAUUCCUUACUUAACAAAGUCAUUCUUGAGGACACGCAUUAGAAUAGUGGCAAGAAAACCGGUUAAGAGGAGAACUGUGACACAUGAAUUGAUAAUUGAAAACCAAUGAAUCUCCAAAUGAUGUGGUUGUGAAGAAGAUUGAGAGUAUUUCUCCAUUCUAUUCUCAAAAGGAAUAUUUGUUUCUUUCCAUCUGACUGUAUACAUAAACUCCACCUCAACUUCUUUGUCUUCAGUGAGAUCCACCACAGCAUUAGGAUCAGCUUUCGCGUUUAUUUCUAUGACACGAUCUUUGUUGUAGAGGAUCUCAAAGUGAAGAUGUUUAAAAAGGUAAAAUCUUUCCUCGCUAGGGUCAUUUUUGUCUUUUUCAACUUUCCCUAGAAAGCCCCAGAAAGGCAAGUCGUCAUAGUACAUUUGGAAAUAAUAGUCCUUGGCAACAGCACUUCGGAAUUUCAAUACUUCCUGUUUUGUUAGUUUUUUUCUGCAAACAGUUUCUGACUCUUUUUCAACCAUAAAUGGAAGCUUAUAAGGGGCACUGACUAAUCUGUCUCCAUUCAGUACUUCACCAAGAGCUUCUGGCUUCUCCUUUAAAUGAUCUGUAAUCAUCAUUUGCAUCAGUUAUGUAUAAUGGCAAGAACAGUAAGUCAAAGAAACAAAAAACAAAAGAAUGAUACAAUAAGAAAUAAGCACCUGGUAAACAGAAGGGUAGAUCAAAAUAGCGGUAUGUUUCACUGUAGAAGAAGACAAAGUGAGGAAAUGAGGUUUAAGAAGCACGCAUAUAGAUUGAAUAUGCUGAAUAAGUUGAAGGUUCUUCAAAUUUGAAGAAAUCAAAUGCAUUUCAUAGAAUACACACAAAUGAGUAAUCCUAAACCUACACAUUCUCUAACUAAGAGUUAUAGGGCCUAUUCUUUCUGUAUGUCAUGUCAAUUUUACUUUGUAGACACUCAAUAACAUGAGAAAGUUCAUCAAGGACCAUUUCUAGUUUUCUGCAUACAGAUUUCUGAAAUUUCCCUUACGAAUAGUGCAGUCCUAUCUCUCAUUUCAGUUUGGCUAACGAAUUAACUACCCAACUCUUUUCCUCCCCUUAAUUUGUGCAUUAUAAGCUGCUCAUAACUUUGUGUAUUUUCUUACAAUGCAAACACGAAUUAGCUGAACGAUCAUCGACCAAUCUAAAGUUCAGCCGAUAAAACUUUGAACUAAGCAAAUAAAACCCUGAUUAUCAUAAUUGAAACUGAGAUCCAGCAAACUACAGACACAGAAACCCUAAUUAUCAAAAUAGAUCCACUAAGUCAGUGCAAGCAGUAGCAAGAAACAUAAUGUGAAGAAGAAAACGCAUAAGACAGAGAUCCAAUCUACAUAUAGAGGAUAAUGCCUACCUAGGGUUAUGGAAAGGACCGACUUUAUUGGCGUAAAUUGGGACUUCAUCACCAGAUUUGUAUUUGUGAUCUGAGGCAUCCGAUUGAACUUCUUCAAUGCUAAAAGCCACUAGUAGCGCCACCAGCAACCACCGUACCACCGACAUUUUCUUCCCCAUCUUAGACGUCUGAUACAGUGGACACCAGUAGAUGCGAUCUUUUACAUGUAUGUCAACAUAUAUCAGGUACCUUAUAUACUCCGGCAAUGUUUGUUGAAGGGGGUUAUCGUGUACUUUUCGAAAAAUUAAAUUUUACAUAAAUGGUCCCUCACGUUUUGUUUCUAUACUUUAAUGACCAGCAUCUUUAAUCAUGCGUUUUAAUCGAUCUCAUGCAUUCUUUCAUAAACAACUUCAUAGUUUUUUGGUACGAAUUGCAAUAAGAUGGAUCAUUUUAGAGAGAAACUUGAUUUACAAAAUGAAUUUGGUAUAUUCAUCAAACAACAUAAUAAUAACUAAAAGCGUAUUUGUAUUUUAAUCUUAUUUUUUUCACCCUUAGAUCAAAUUGCUGACAUCAUCUUCCUCAUAUGGAAUGUAUUUAAUUCCAAUAAAUGUUUUCCAAUCAUCAAUCAAUAACUUACAUUCGUUGAAAUGGAAUGUAUUUAAUUCCAAUAAAAACUUUCCAUAUUUUACAUCUUGAAUUUUCAGUUAUGAAGAUUUUAAUAUGGUCAAUUUUAAAAACAUAUUACUAACAAAUUAUUUCAAUCAAGGCCUUAAUAUCAACCAUUAAUAUAAAUCCGUUUAUAUUAGUAAACCAUUAAUAUAAAAUCUUUUUUUAUUAGGAAAUCAUUAAUACCGAAAAAUCAUAUUCAAAUUAUCACAUACAUAUACGAUUCAUCAUUGAAUCCGCGACUUACAUUUAUUUUCAAUCGUUUCUUUUCUUCAAACUUUCUCCUACAACAUCUUUAAUAUUGCUUAUAACUUCCAUCAUCAUUAUCUGCUAUAAACAUUCGCUCUUGUGCGCUAGAAGGUCAGUACUGUCUUUCGCUUUUUAUAUUUUUUUCGAUUAUUUUUUGUUCAUAUAUCAAAUGUAUGUAUUCAUAUAUUUCGAUUUUUUUUGUCACAAAUUACAAUCAGUUUACUACUUUUCUGAAACUUUUCAAAUAAAUAUGAAAAGAUAUUCAGUACCUUUAACAAAACAAAAAUUAACUAUCUUCGGAACUGACAUUAAUUACAAAAAUGUUACUUUUAUAUAUUAAAGAUGAUUAUGAUUUUUUUUUUAAUUUUUAUAUAUAAGAAUUUGGUUAAUUUUGGCAUGAUUUUAAAAUAUCAUUGAAAUUAUUAUGUUUUUGUAUAUCAUAUCAAACUACUUUUUUAUCUUUGUAUAGUAACAAUAAAAUUUAUUAAUUUACACAACAAAUAUAGAUAUUUCAAAUUUUGUAAUAUUAUUAUACCUUACAAAAUACAACUCCCUCCAAAAUAAAUUUUCGCCAGUAAUUUCAUCCAUAAUUUCAACAAAUUUAAAUUUGUAUUUUCUUUAUAUAAAUUUUUUUUAAUGAUCCUGAUUUUUUUUUCUCCAAAAGUAUAUCAAACAUUUACAUUUUAGAUAAUGCUACCCUAUUAUAAUUAUUAUUUUCCAAAAGUAUAUCCGUUUAAUGAAGAAUUUGAUAUAAUAAAGGAAGUGAAUGUUAAUUAAAAUGAGAUAUAUAUUCCAUAAUUAUUACAUGAGUUUAUUAAAAAAAUCAAUAUCAAGGUGUAAACAUUAAAUAUUUUUAAAGUGAAAUUUUAGAAUACAUACAAACGAUGAUGUUGUACAAUGAAAUAUAAAAUUGAAUAGACUAAAAAAAAACACUAUUAAAGCAGUCAAUCUUGAAUAACAUAGUUAUGAAAAUUAUAAAGUAAGAUAAAAAUUAUAAGAUAUUAAGAGAUUUGUAAAAAGUACAUUUAAUAAAAGCGUUACGGUUAUUAGAAAAAAUAAGACCGUUAAGAUUAGUGAAAAUACAAUAUAUAAACUAAAUUAUCACAAUAGUAAUGAAAUUUUAUUAUUUGAUAUUUCAUAUAAUUGAAAGAUAUAUCAAAUUACAUUGACCCAUUGAUUGUCAUUCAUUUAUAAUUUUCCACAGUUGGAUCAACGAUGAAUCAAACUAUGAUGUCAUCCUAAAAAAAAUCAUAUGCCUUUUCUUUUGAAAAAUUAGUACGCCAUUUUGUUAUGCCUAACAGCAACCACCGUCGAACCACAACUAAUAUGUCUUUCUUUAUGCUUCGUCCUAAUCAAUUCACAAGAUUCAGUUUUCUCAAAAACCCUAAUCCACAUUAAAAUUUCAAACCCUCGAUUAAUCAUCAAUUGAUUAAUCAGGAAGCAAAUCAUCUCCGAUUGUUUUGGUUUUCAAUUUUUUAGGUCUUCGAUUGUUUUUGUUACUUUCCAUGGUGGAUUAGAGAAUUCAUGUCUCACAUGAAAUGCUUGAUUAGGUAUUUUGAUGUUCUCUCUCCUUCGUUAUCUACCUUAAUCUUUUACCCGCUCCAUCUCUCUCGCUUUCAAAUCCUAGGUAUGUUCCUAUUUUUCAUUUUUUUAUCUAGGGUUUUUAUUGAUUCUGAGUGGUUUUCAGAUUGUACAAUGAGGAAAUAUUGAUUGAUUUUCCUUCCCCUUCUUCUACUUUUCUUUUUGUUUUUUAGAUACUUAGAUUGAAGUACCGAUUAUCAUCAAGAUCGAUAGAGCUUGAGGAUAUUGGACACCAAGAACAAAGUGAAACAAGAAGAAGAUUGCAUGGGCUAAGAAUGACUGGUAUGUUGGAGUAUUAUUGACAUUUUCGAUUUCCAACAUGUUUGAUUUGUCUUUCAUUUUCAUUUUUGAUUAUUUACUUAUUUAUUUUGUUUUUUUAUUGUUUUUAUUAGAGCCUCAACAUAUAUGGUUUGGAGCUUAAAUAUUAACUUCGUUGAUUUAGAAGAUUUCACAACGGAGUCUCAAGCAAGGAAGCAAUUAGUCCAUAAGUCCUUUAUCAUACUAUUCCAUCAAGUUAUCACCAACCAACGCCAUCCACAUCUCCACAGAUCAAUCAACAAACGAUUGCCAACAUUUUCCUGAAGUUGACCAUUACGCGCUCUGUUUUCUUUUCUACAUAAUGCCCUUAUUAUUACUCCAUAAAUUUGACAAAAUUUGGUGUUUCUCUAUAUCUAAUGACCACCACCAACAAGUGUUAAAGAAUUAAAAUAAAAAAAUGAAAAAGUUCUAAAAUUACGAGAAGUGUCUUAUAACAAAAUAAAAUAUAAAAUAAAAUGAAUUCUUUAUAAAGAAGAAAAAGAAAUACGAAACCUAUUAUAAAUAAAAAAAAAUCAUAUAAAAUAACCAUUAAUAUUUAUUAAGUCCUCAUUAUUAAUUGGAUAUUUUAAACGUUACAAUAUAAAUAAACAAUUAAUAGAAAUUAACUAUUAUAAACUAUAAAUAUGAGAGGGUAAAUGGUUAAUAUUGACACGAAUUGGUAGACGUAGAGUCCUAAUUCGCAAAAUUUGACCAACUAUUUCUCUAUUUUCUCUAUUUUAAAUGCAUGUUCUAUUAUUAAUAAAAACAUAUGACAACAAACAUUUCUAAAAAAACUAACGUCAUGUUACUUCUUUAUGUUCUUCUUACAAAUGCAUAUCGACCUAAAAAUAAUUAUGUUCCUCUUUUAUCAAAUACAUAUUGAUCCAAAAAUAUUUAUCUUUGGUUAAUCUUUUUAUGUGAAAUUAUCUGGUUUAUCAAAUUACCACUAAAUGACUAAAGCCUAAAGUUUUCAUAUAAAUUUGAGGUUUAAAAUCAGUGUCUUUGACUUCAUGUGAAAAACGAUUAAAGAAAGAUGUCAAAAUCUCAUAAAAAUAGUUCUUAAACAUUUUGGUGGUUUGUGGUUGCUGCUGUCAUUUUUAUUAAGAGAUAUUCAACAAUUUUACAAAGAGUUUCUUCAACGAUUAUAUAUAUUUAGACAUUUCUUUAUAUUUUUUAGACAUUUCAAUAUUACCAAUAACACUAAGUCUGUUUAUGUUACUUUAUGUUUUUUUAUUAUUAUGAUUAUUAUUGUGCCAACUUUUUAUACCUUGAUAUGUGUUUUUUAUAUGUUCUUCCGCGUUUUACGCGGGUUAUAAUCUAGUAAUAACUAAGAAAGUAAACAAUGUCAUGGUUUGGAACAAUGAAAAGGAAGAAAGUAAAAAUGCAAUAAGAUAACAAUAAACAAAACUUGUUCUAAGUAUUAUAUAUCAUAGGAUUAACAAAAGGGUUACAAUAUCAUAGUGUUUAGCCUUUUGAAAAGGCAGAUAAUAUCUAAAAGAUUAACAAAAUGGGCUAUCAACAUAAUUUCCAAUUUCUAGUACUAUUCAAAAGGUUACACUGUGACAACUAAAAGACAUGAAAUAAAACCCCCUACUCUAAAACAUGAGCUUUUUUUUAUAUUGGUGCUAGUUCCAUACUUGUCAACCACAUUCUUGGCUAGCUUAUUCUUGGUGAUUCUUUAGAUGGCCUCCUUAACCUCCAUAAGACCACGAUCUGCAUAUGCAUUCUCCACAUGCUCAAGGACUAGAAAUUAGGUUUCAUUUAUAACCUCCACUAGAAAUCGAGUUUCAUCUAUACCCUCCUCAUCACUUUGAACUUCAUCAUCUUCAUCUUGUCUUACCCAAGUAUUUGGACCAAUUUCUUUAGUAUGAAAACCAUAAUCCUAAUGACACAUGAUGAGAGUAUGUAAACGGAUAAAGACUUAACAUGAUGAGAGUCUAUAUAUGGAUAAACACUUACCAUGGACAUAUCAAACUCCAUAGGAAUCUCUUUGAUAUUAAGGAUUACAGAAAAUUCGGUAUGUGUUAAACCUAAACAUUUCAUUAUUUCAUCAUCAGCGUAGUUGGGCUCCUUCAAAUUUUGCAAUUAUAUCUUUCACUUGGAAUAAGAACAUAUUCUCUACACAAUCUAGUACUUGUGUUUCCUACACCUUAACUUCAUUGUUUUUCCCUGUUGUUGUGAUCAUAAACCUUCAUCCCUUUGACCACUUUGACAUCCAUCCAUCUUACCCUCAUCCCUAGCACCUCUUCACAUCUGACCUCUACCCUUAGCACCUCUUCUUAGGCCCUAUGACCUCCCCUUGUCUAGUAACUACAGUUGGAUCCAACUUAGGUCUCUGUCUUUUUUUAGGGUUUGGUUUUGGGGCAACUAUUGGAUUUUUACAUGAAACCUUGUUAUGACCCUUAUGUUGGCAAUUUGUACAUUGGAUUCUUCUAGACCUUCCUAUAUGGUAGUACUUGUCAUUAUUUUCAAAAAUAUGCAUUCUUCUCUUGAUACUUGGUCGACUUGGCAUCCUUCUAGCUAUUAGGGGAGUGGUUUGGUAUAUGGCGUAGCUACUCGUAAAUUACUUCCAUUCAUAUGUUGCAAGUUCCUAGAGUAGGUAUCUUUACACCUCUUCUUACUAAACCAAAGGCUAAUAAACUUAGUCGGAUCUUUAUGAGUGUAAUAGAUAUUAGUUUGUGCAUGAACACAAGGUAUCCACAGAUGACCCACAACUUACAUGAACACGCAUGUAACCCCAAAUCCACACAAUAAAGUUCAUAGCCAUUCCUAGUUCCAUAAGCAUCCAUCUUUGGGGAAAAUAAUCCAAUUCCUGCAGAUUAGUAUGUAAAACAAAUUUAGUAAGAUAAACUCAGCCUUUAAAAGGAAAAGGGAUAAAAAGUGCAUACCUCAUAUCUUCACCAAAAUUUCUCAUCUUUUUAAUAUCAGCAGGGCAUACAUCACCUUCCCAUCUACCAACCUUUUAAAGCAUUCUAAAAAACUUAUCCAUCAUGUAUAAUUUGAUUUCUUCAAGCAUAGUUAUGAGUGGUUUCUUCCUAGCCUCCAAGAUGAUGAAAUUGAACAUUCAACAAUGCCAUCUUCCACUGCCUCACAAGCUAUUCCACUACCAAAAUAAGUCAUGCACAAUGUAAUGGGGUUCCUUUAAUUCAGAUGUUCGUAAGCAAUUCAAUAUACCUUCCUGAAAUUGGAAUAUAUGUGUUUAGCACAUUGCAUGUGCUCCACAUAAGGAAGGAUAUCAUUUGUUGAUUCAAGUAGACCAUAUAAUUAGGAUAUACAACAUUAAGAAAGUAUAACCAAAUUGCAUAAGCAAGUGUAAUCAAGUCUUUCAAAAUUGGGAUAUGAUACAAAGGAAAUUAACCCCUAAACCAUCUUUGUCCUUAGACUAUGGCCUGUUUACAUGGUGUCGUCUUCAAAAUCAAAACCAUAAUCAUCCUCAUUCUCGACCUCCGCAUCAUGGAUGUAAGCAUCAGAUGCUCCACAAAGUGUGUUCAUGACUGUUGCCCCAUAAGGCGGUCUAUUUUUGAAUUUGUUUUUCUCUCCAACGUCUAUGUUCGUGAUACUCAAUUUCUCAUCUUGGUCUGCACCAACAAAAUUAGUGCCUCGAGCAUCAAUGUUUAGCUUCAUUACAAGGAAGGAGCUCUAUAAAAACACUCUUCAAACAUGGAUCGUUUGGGUCCUCACUUAAGCUCUCAAUGAAUGAAAAUGUUGACCAUAGAAACCCUAACUUUAAGAGGGUAUGUGUAAAUGAAGGGCCAUGUCAACGAUUGUAACCAGUUAUGUAAGUGGUAACGGGGUGUUGGAGACAAUAUGCAAACAAAAGCCAAUACCUAGGCUUAAUCGUUAAAAAAAAUCAUGAGUGACUAUUCAAGUUAAUAGAACCAAAGUUCAGUGACUUUUCCUAACAUAAAAAGCCAAAAGCUCUAAAAAAAUACUACUUGAACUAGCUUUUGGAGGAAUUAAAAUUUCAUACACAAAGUCAUAUCACAAUAUGAAAAGCAGGUGGAAAAGAUGUAGAGGGCUUGUAAAUAAGUAAGAACUAAUACAAACAUUAAUUACAAGCUACAGAAGUACAGAUUUAAAAAUGAAAAAGACAAGUAUGUAUGCCCAAAGCCAAAAUUGAGUAGCUACUUUUCAAUUCCCUUCCUCUCGUCAAACUUUAAAAAUAUAUAUUAAAAAAAAAACAACAUAAACUAUCAAAACAUCCAUCAAACAUCUAACUCGGACACUUUGUUCUCAUAGCUUUCAUCUUUUUCUUUUCCCCUGGUUGAAACAGCCCCUGAACAUUGAGAUUUGAGCUUCUAUUCACACUUAAUUGAGCGGUAGAUGUGGCGAACAAAGAAAAGGGCGGCACGGAAACCGAUCAUGCCGAGCAUGAGAAAGAAGCCGUAACAAAUGCAAGCCAUGUAACCGAAGAAGAAAGAGGUCUGCAUGAAUCCAGACAUGUCUGAUCUUUCAUAGUAGUAAUACAAGCAAUACCCGUAUAUGAAAACACCCGUUGACCCUCCACAUAGGAAAGACCUGAAAAUAAAAUAAUAAUUCAAAAAUAAAUUAUAUUGAAAAAAGUACAGAUUCGAAAGGUAAAAAAAAGAGUAAACUACACAAAUGGUCCCUAUGGUUUAGGGUAAUUUGCACGUUUAGUCCCUAACUUACUUUUUUAACUCGGAAGGUCCCUAAUGUUUGUUUUUGUUACGCGUUUUGUCCCUAUUUUACCUAAAAAUUCUAUUUUGCACUUGUUUUUUUAAUAUAUUUAAAUAAACACAACACCAACCUCAUCCCACUCACCUUACCUUACCUACCCCACCAUUUUUUUCUCUUUAAAUAAUAGUAUUUUUACGUAAGAUAAGGACCAAGCGUGUAACAAAAACAAAUAGUAGGGACCAAUGGCGUAAAAAAAACAAACAGUAGGGACUUUCCGAGUUAAAACACUAAGUUAGGGACCAAACGCGCAAAUUACCCCAAACCAUAGGGACCAUUCGUGUAAUUUACUCUAAAAACAACAAGACAUACCUCCACCACCAUUCAUGAUCCUCAGCAGCAAGUUGGAAGUAUGUCAAAGCAACAGUGAUGAAGGCAGUGACAAUCAAGAGAAUGAUGAAAACAAUAAAUAAGAUGCUGUAAAUGGUGUAAAUCCUGUGGCCCCACACACUGGCGAAGAUGUAGUAAAGCUCAAUGUAGAUAGCACUAAAAGGGAGAAAGCCAGCCAUGGCCAUUUGAGGGAUGGUUUUUCUGUACCAUGGGAGAGGUGGAAUCUCUCUGGGAUACUUUGUGGUGCGAACAGGAGCUUGGAACUCAGCUUUGCUGUUUUUUCCAGCAAUGCCCCCGAGAACAAGUAAUGGUGAUGUCACCAAACUCCAUAUUAAAACAAUCACUACAAUUGUCCCAAAGGGUAGUGCAGCUGUGGCUGUGUAUGCGAUUGCAACCGUGUUUAGGAAGCAGAAGGUUAGAAAGAGGGGCCCACAGAAGAGGCAUCCGGUUAACAGUAGGUUUCUC